AUGGCGACCGGCGCACGGGUGAGUAACACGUAUCCAACCUGCCGAUAACUCCGGAAUAGCCUUUCGAAAGAAAGAUUAAUACCGGAUGGCAUACGAAUAUCGCAUGAUAUUUUAUUAAAGAAUUUCGGUUAUCGAUGGGGAUGCGUUUCAUUAGUUUGUUGGCGGGGUAACGGCCCACCAAGACUACGAUGGAUAGGGGUUCUGAGAGGAAGGUCCCCCACAUUGGAACUGAGACACGGUCCAAACUCCUACGGGAGGCAGCAUG
rnacentral:rRNA from 1 species